AUACUCACUUUGACAGCACAUAUACUAAAAUUGGAAUUAUACAGAGAUGAUUAGCAUGGCCCCUGCACAAAGAUGACAUGCACAUUCAUGAAGCAUUCUAUAUUCAA
ensembl:snRNA U6 U6 spliceosomal RNA